ACGCUGGCGGCAGGCCUAACACAUGCAAGUCGAACGGACCCUUCGGGGUUAGUGGCGGACGGGUGAGUAACACGUGGGAACGUGCCUUUAGGUUCGGAAUAGCUCCUGGAAACGGGUGGUAAUGCCGAAUGUGCCCUUCGGGGGAAAGAUUUUAUCGCCUUUAGAGCGGCCCGCGUCUGAUUAGCUAGUUGGUGGGGUAAUGGCCCACCAAGGCUACGAUCAGUAGCUGGUCUGAGAGGAUGACCAGCCACAUUGGGACUGAGGCACGGCCCAAACUCCUACGGGAGGCAGCAGUGGGGAAUCUUGCGCAAUGGGCGAAAGCCUGACGCAGCCAUGCCGCGUGUAUGAUGAAGGUCUUAGGAUUGUAAAAUACUUUCACCGGUGAAGAUAAUGACUGUAGCCGGAGAAGAAGCCCCGGCUAACUUCGUG
rnacentral:rRNA from 1 species